GAUGAAGAACGCAGCAAAAUGCGAUAAGUAAUGUGAAUUGCAGAAUUCAGUGAAUCAUCGAAUCUUUGAACGCACAUUGUGCCCGCCAGUAUUCUGGCGGGCAUGCCUGUUCGAGCGUCAUUUCAACCCUCAAGCCCCCGGGUUUGGUGUUGGGGAUCGGGCUGUACUCCAGCCCGGCCCCGAAAUCUAGUGGCGGUCUCGCUGCAGCCUCCAUUGCGUAGUAGCUAACACCUCGCAACUGGAACGCGGCGCGGCCAAGCCGUUAAACCCCCAACUUCUGAAUGUUGACCUCGGAUCAGGUAGGAAUACCCGCUGAACUUAAGCAUAUCAAUAAGCGGAGGA
rnacentral:misc_RNA from 1 species